GACGAACGCUGGCGGCGUGCCUAAUACAUGCAAGUAGAACGCUGAAGGAGGAGCUUACUUCUCCGGAUGAGUUGCGAACGGGUGAGUAACGCGUAGGUAACCUGCCUGGUAGCGGGGGAUAACUAUUGGAAACGAUAGCUAAUACCGCAUAACAGUAGAUGUUGCAUGACAUUUGCUUAAAAGGUGCAAUUGCAUCACUACCAGAUGGACCUGCGUUGUAUUAGCUAGUUGGUGAGGUAACGGCUCACCAAGGCGACGAUACAUAGCCGACCUGAGAGGGGGCUCGGCCACACUGGGACUGAGACACGGCCCAGACUCCUACGGGAGGCAGCAGUAGGGAAUCUUCGGCAAUGGACGGAAGUCUGACCGAGCAACGCCGCGUGAGUGAAGAAGGUUUUCGGAUCGUAAAGCUCUGUUGUAAGAGAAGAACGAGUGUGAGAGUGGAAAGUUCACACUGUGACGGUAUCUUACCAGAAAGGGACGGCUAACUACGUG
rnacentral:rRNA from 1 species